GCCCCCGUAGCUCAGUGGACCAGAGCGGCUGACUUCGAAUCAGUAGGUCGUAGGUUCGAAUCCUACCGGGGGUA
rnacentral:tRNA from 1 species